GACGAACGCUGGCGGCGUGCCUAAUACAUGCAAGUCGAGCGCAGGAAACCGUCUGAACCCUUCGGGGGGACGACGGCGGAAUGAGCGGCGGACGGGUGAGUAACACGUAAAGAACCUGCCCAUAGGUCUGGGAUAACCACGAGAAAUCGGGGCUAAUACCGGAUGUGUCAUCGGACCGCAUGGUCCGCUGACGAAAGGCGCUUCGGCGUCGCCCAUGGAUGGCUUUGCGGUGCAUUAGCUAGUUGGUGGGGUAAUGGCCCACCGAGGCGACGAUGCAUAGCCGACCUGAGAGGGUGAUCGGCCACACUGGGACUGAGACACGGCCCAGACUCCUACGGGAGGCAGCAGUAGGGAAUCUUCCACAAUGGACGAAAGUCUGAUGGAGCAACGCCGCGUGAACGAUGAAGGCUUUCGGGUCGUAAAGUUCUGUUGUAAGGGAAGAACAAGUGCCGCAGGCAAUGGCGGCACCUUGACGGUACCUUGCGAGAAAGCCACGGCUAACUACGUGCCAGCAGCCGCAGUAAGAC
rnacentral:rRNA from 1 species